GCGAGCGAAAAGGGAGGAGCCCAGCGCCGAAUCCCCGGCCUACGGUCGCGGGAAAUGUGGCGUUUAGGAGUGAGCGUGCCGGGUUCGACGGCGGCGGCAAGUCCCCCUGACCGGGGCCUGUCCGUAGCGGGUGCGAGGCCCAUAGCCGCCGCCUUCGUCUCGGAUGCGAUCUCCUUGGAGUCGGGUUGCUUGGGAGUGCAGCCCUAAUCGGGUGGUAAACUCCACCUAAGGCUAAAUACCGCCGUGAGACCGAUAGCAAACAAGUACCGUGAGGGAAAGUUGCAAAGAACUUUGAAGAGAGAGUUCAAGAGUACGUGAAACUGCUCAGAGGUAAACGGGUGGGCCCUCGAAAUCCUGUGGCGAGAGGAUUCAGUCUGGAGUGGCGGACGCGCAGUCGGAAGACCGAGUAGGGCUUCCCGAGACCGGGGCCGUCCGACAGCGUGUCUUCUGCCGUUCCAGACGCAUUUGUCUCUCGUUCGAAGGACGCUGCAGCCGGUCUGGCAGUGCAAGCGCGACGGCCUGAAGGUCGGGAACCGGCAGGUGGCCGGCGGCUCGCUUCGUGCGGGCUGUCGGUUGUUAGCCGUCCCGUCAGUGGCCCGUCGCCAGACCGAGGUGUCGCGAGUCCCUCCCCGGGACUCCUCGUCUCCACCCCCGUGGUCGCGGGACAGGGCGUGGCAAGGGAACCGUGUCACCACCGUCGCACUCUUACGGAGUGGGCGGAGGUGCUCGGGACCCCGUUGGCUGCGACGGACCCGUCGGGGACCGGAGGCUGGCAGCGAGUAGGUCGGUCACCCACCCGACCCGUCUUGAAACACGGACCAAGGAGUCUAACAUGUGCGCGAGUCAAUGGGUCUUGACUAGGCCCAGGGGCGCAAUGAAAGCGAAGGACCGCCUAGCGCGGUCUGAGUGGGGAUCCCUCCGCUUGGCGGCGGGGGGCGCACCCACGACCCGUCCUAUCCGGCUCGCCGGUUGGGCGGAGUCUGAGCGUACACGUUGGGACCCGAAAGAUGGUGAACUAUGCCCGGACAGGACGAGGCCAGAGGAAACUCUGGUGGAGGUCCGCAGC
rnacentral:rRNA from 1 species